CACUGCCUGUGAUCAGCUCUGCUGGUGGGGACGCCCCUUCCUGGGUUCCAUCCAUGGAUGGCGCCACUGCGCAUGUCUCGACCCAAGUGGCAACCCUAACACAGACUGAGGAUAAAAGGAAUGAUGGGAGCACACCUUUUUCUAUUAAGGCAAAGAGAUGGGAGGGAGAACGUGAGGAUGGUGAUGCUCUGACCUCACCAAGCUUCAUUUCCAUGGGAGGAAGUUGCCGUAACUGGCUAUAUUCUCUGCAGGAGUAGAAGGAAUAAAGACGAGGGAUAGACACACUCUUUCACAAAGCAAUGGCAGUAGUGCUAUGGUGCCAUCUCAUGCAAAGUGAUCCUGUGGUCCUUAAUCAGGUUGUGCCAUUGCUCAAGUGGGUAAAUGUUGGGUGCUCACCAGAUCAUGGUGGGGAAGAAGGGAGACACUGAGAUGUGCAGGUCACACAUUGUCCACUAUGGCAACUCCCAAGCACCCAAUAAGCACAUCUGCAGCAGCGUUACCGGUCAAUAGCAAAUGGUCCAAUCCACUCAUUGCAUCCCGUCUGCACACUAAAUUUGGUUCUGAUUCAGGCCAGGCAAGGGUUGACCCACUCUUCUGAUAUGAACCCAAUUCAAUUGCACAUGUUCAUAUAACAGGGAAAAAAAAAAUG